rnacentral:rRNA from 1 species
UACGAGGGGUGCAAGCGUUGCUCGGAAUUAUUGGGCGUAAAGGGUAGGUAGGUGGUCUCAUUUGUCUGGGGUGAAAGCCUUGAGCUUAACUCAAGAAGUGCCCCGGAAACGGUGAGACUCGAGUCCUGGAGAGGGUCGUGGAAUUCCCGGUGUAGCGGUGAAAUGCGUAGAGAUCGGGAGGAACACCAGAGGCGAAGGCGGCGACCUGGACAGGCACUGACACUCAACUACGAAAGCGUGGGGAGCAAACAGG